AGAUCAAUCAGAAGUUGCAACGUGUGACGUACGGUGUGAAAGGCUCUCGUAUCAAAACGUAUUCUUCGCGGGAAAAAAGUAUAAAGACGACUCUGUGAAGCAGUUUUAGAUCUUCAUCACUGCACAGUUACAGUCGUCACGUGUACUAGCUCGAACCAUCGGAUAGCCAACAAACCGGAGAGAGGGUGAAGCAGACAAUUGCAUGUCCGAGCGUUGAAGACCAGGUUCCCAACGACUCCACCGGGGAAACGCCCAUAAGAACAAAAUAAAGUCGCGAACAUUCCCAUCUCCGUUCAGGCAAGAGCGCAGCUGGCCGUCGAGCGCAAGACGAAGAAGAUUUCACACCAACCAUCUGCCGUACGUUCAUAUUAAGGAAGGCACAAAACUACAAACUAGAAGCAGGCAUUCAACAACCCGCACACACAGACGUAGGCUCAUCAAAACUCAAGUUCACCGGACAGAGAAGGCCCUCGAAAGAGGGCCUUUUGUAUCAAUUGCAGAAAGCUGCUGGGCAGCAACGUAGUCCAACUAUACCAGCAGUAGCCACGCCAACGACACCGGCUCGACGAUCGC